CUUCUAAGUCCUAUGUCUGGGGCCCUUGACACAAGAAAGAUAUGGAGUGUUUGGAGAGGGUCCAGAGGAGGGCCACAAAGAUGAUCCACGGGUUGGAGCACCUAUCCUAUGAAGGCAGACUGAAGGAACUGGGCUUGUUCAGUCUGGAACAGAGAAGGCUGCAGGGAGACCUCAUUGCAGCCUUCCACAGGGUGGAGAAGCAGCUGAAGGGCUGACGCUGGUCCUCCUGUGCGGGCUGAAGAUGGAAGGUGGCUCAUGGGAAUGGUAAUGCAACAACAACAAAACACAAAUACUUUUGUUAAGGUGAUUGAUCUUCAUGGUUGAGAAAUAAAUGCUUGGGAAGCCAGCAUUCCCCCUUUGGGAGAGCCAUUAUUUACUGUCAUUUUGAUGACCUUCAUGUGAUGAUUAGAUCAGGAUUGGCAAGCUAUCACAGUAAAUUCAAGUGGAAGAUGGGAUCUGAAGUACUGUGCAAACUUAUGUUGCUACAGAAUCAGAAUCAUUAGAAAGCUAUUUGUUUGUUUGUUGGCUAGUUUGUUUAAUAUUUGGCUUACUAUAACUUAUCUGAUGUAAAUACAGGGGUGUUUUAUGUAUCUGUUUUUAGUAUGAUUUUUUUUUCAUAGUGAAUGUGUCUAAAUAGAAUGCACUUAGGGAAAAACACUUGGACAACACUGUAGUCAGAAAGAGAAGAUAUAUAUCUGGGCACCUUGCAGCUUUCUAUUCUGUUCUAGGCUGUGUACAGACAGUUUAUUCAAGGCUG
ensembl:lncRNA